AUUGAACGCUGGCGGCAGGCCUAACACAUGCAAGUCGAACGGUAACAGGAAGAAGCUUGCUUCUUUGCUGACGAGUGGCGGACGGGUGAGUAAUGUCUGGGAAACUGCCUGAUGGAGGGGGAUAACUACUGGAAACGGUAGCUAAUACCGCAUAACGUCGCAAGACCAAAGAGGGGGACCUUCGGGCCUCUUGCCAUCGGAUGUGCCCAGAUGGGAUUAGCUAGUAGGUGGGGUAACGGCUCACCUAGGCGACGAUCCCUAGCUGGUCUGAGAGGAUGACCAGCCACACUGGAACUGAGACACGGUCCAGACUCCCACGGAGGCAGCAGUGGGAAUAUAGCACAAUGGGCGCAAGCCUGAUGCAGCCAUGCCGCGUGUAUGAAG
rnacentral:rRNA from 1 species